GGGCAGGACAUCCCAGGACAGCGGAAACAUGGUGUUCCACUUCGGGGGUGUACAAGACAGGGGAAGCAUGGCUGUGGUCCGCUCUGAUCCAGAGAUGUUGGGGAAAGUCCCGCCACGAGCGCAACCCCAGACUUUAGUUGCCAUCAUUCAGUUGGGCACUGGAUAGGGUCCACCGGUGGUAAUCCGGAGGAAGGGGGCGGCGCAGUCAAGUCCUCAUGUCCCUUAGGCCCAAAAGUCCACACGUGCUACAAGUGGUGGCCCCAAGGGAAGGGAUUAACAGAGCAGUCCAAAUCCCAAAACCCCGUUAUCAAUUCGGAUCGGAGUCAGCAACUGCGCUCCGUGAAGUUGGAACCCCUCAAACACGGCUCAGCAUGCCGACAGCCAUACGGCCCCGGUCCCCGUACCCACCGAAGUCACGCCCAGGAAGUCAGCUGUACUGGAAGUCAAGCGA
rnacentral:rRNA from 1 species